rnacentral:lncRNA from 1 species
AAAAAUUAAGUUACCAGAGACUCUUCACCAUACGUCUCUUGAAUAUUAUUGUAGGUACCAAGGUACACACUAAUGAUUCUCACACAUACAAUAAAGUUCGCACCGGUUUUUUCCAACUCUAGCUCAGGGAUAUGUACAAUUGUUAGCAUGCCCCAAACUUAUGCAACGAUAACAAUCAGCAAGCCGUUGCUGCCCUCAAGUUUAACUCCUCUCCACGCAUCAGAUAUUUUCCCAAUUGAGCAACGGACUUAUCACAAAAAUAGAAUUUUCUACCAAAACAGUAUUUGAGCCCAUGAUACCAAGUAUGCAUACACAAAAUGAAAGAAACAAGCAAUACGCUUGUUAACAGUGCAGACCUUCUACUCAAGGUGGUAGAGGAGCCGCAUAAGGUGCCAGCAGCAAGCACACCCCCGCACCGUCAUCUACACCUUCCUCUCCUGUCCUCACAUUCACAACUACAACCAAGAAUAGCAACAAAGUCACCCUCUUCGUUCUCAAAAGUAAGGAAAAUAAAACAAUUUUGAGACGGUGGACAACUGACCUUCUUGUCGAGCUUGAUCUUUCUCAUCCCACGUAAUCCAUGUCAGAUCGCCACCGCUUCCCGAAAAAUCAGCAACCUCCUUGCUCUCCCCACCUCCUAAUAUUAAAAUAUCGACAUGAUAGCAGCAACAACACAGGGAGGGUCUUGAGAAUGAAGUGCCAUGUUCAUACCGAAGGAAAAUAAUCAUGCUCAAAUAGAAAGAUAUGAAUUAUUAGUAGAAGGAAGACACCUAUUAUAGCAUGCAUAACUAUUCAGUAUGAUCGCAAUGGUGAAUAAAAUUGACAAAUACUUUAUGGGAGGGGGAAGAACGACCACGGAAAAGAGGUGACGGUGAUGGUCGGUUGUGGGCUCAGUUUUGUUGAGGCUACGAUAACUUCCAAUAGCGAGACUUGAAGCCAUGCAUGGUGAUCGUGGAGUCCGUCUAUUUGAGUCGGCGCACGCGUCCAUCAAACCCGUACACAACUACAUGAUUUGGAGGGAGUGACUGGCCAGCCACCACCAGAGCACUUGGUGGUAAACAAUAAAUCAAUAUCUUCCUCUCGCGCGAUUAGAAAGUUAGCGUAUUCCAAAAACAAAAGAAACAAGGCUAAAAAUGAACUGCUUGAACUCCUCUACCAAGAAUAAGCGGUCAUAGAAAGUCCAUUGCUGGCACCUCACUUCUUCUAUCAAAAUGUGUUCAACUACAUUAAUGUUUCAAAAUUGCAAGUGUACUCAUAGGUGAAAAUUGAAAUUUUCUACGAUGGACAUGUAAAACAGUCUAGGUGAAUUAGGGAAAGUCGGUAGCACAACGAAUGAAUAACCAAGCUGACAACACAAAUAAUGAUUAACUAAGUUGAUAGCACAAACAAAAGUAACCACUGAUAGCAAAGAACAAUAUGAUCUACGAGUACAUGAGGAAGAAAUAUGUAAAAAAUAAUGGUAGCUAUCUGACUGUUUAAGCAGUUCAUCUCAAGGGCAGACAUAGUCAGUAAACAAAUUGGUGAAAAGAAGACUGAAGUUGUACCGUAAUUCAUCCAUGGCAGCUAUGUAGGAUGCAUUAUGAUGUGGUUCACUCCGAAAGAGGCUCCCUAUCCAAUCCAAAACCUGAAAUCGAUUAAUUACUCAACGCCAGAUAAUCAAUGUACCACUACAUGGUACCAUGAAUCCAUAAUAACUAAUUAAUCUACAACAAUUCUAGACAUCAUUGACACUUAGACGUUGUAAAACCAAAUUACAGAUAGAUUUUCAGAUUAACCCGAGUCUAUAACCUUAUACGCACUACCACAUUCGAUGAACGGCGAAACAAUGUUCAGCACUACCACAUAUAUUGUGAAUCUUCCCUGAACUUUUCAGUUU